UAAUACGUAGGGGGCGAGCGUUGUCCGGAAUCAUUGGGCGUAAAGAGCUCGUAGGCGGCUUGGCAAGUCGGGUGUGAAAUCUCCGGGCUUAACUCGGAGAGGCCACUCGAUACUGCUAUGGCUAGAGUCCGGUAGGGGACCAUGGAAUUCCUGGUGUAGCGGUGAAAUGCGCAGAUAUCAGGAGGAACACCGGUGGCGAAGGCGGUGGUCUGGGCCGGUACUGACGCUGAGGAGCGAAAGCGUGGGGAGCGAACAGGAUUAGAUACCCUGGUAGUCCACGCCGUAAACGUUGGGCACUAGGUGUGGGGCCUUAUCAACGGGUUCCGUGCCGUAGCUAACGCAUUAAGUGCCCCGCCUGGGGAGUACGGCCGCAAGGCUA
rnacentral:rRNA from 1 species